rnacentral:rRNA from 1 species
AGGCCGACGAAUGGGUUGUUUUGUGUGGUAAAGCGAAUGAUUAGCGUAUUUGGGAAUGUAAUGUUUUCGGUCGAUUCUCAAACUUUAAAUACGCAAGAUAGAGGUGGUUGCUUGUUUGAACCUCUCUCGUGAAAACGUCGGCCUUGUGGGCCACUUUUGGUAAGCAGAACUGGCGAUAUGGGAUGAACCAUAAGUUUGGUUAAGGCGACUAAAUCUUCGCUUAAAGAUACCACGAAAGGUGUUGGUUCAUAUAGACAGCAGGACGGUGGCCAUGGAAGUCGGAAUCCGCUAAGGAGUGUGUAACAACUCACCUGCCGAAUGAACUAGCCCUGAAAAUGGAUGUCGCUUAAGCGGAGUGCCGACACCAGACCGUUUUGGUAAAACACGGACCAAAAUGAGUAGGAGGGCGUGGCGAUUUUGUUCAGAAGGGUUCGACGCAAGUCGGCCUGGAACGGUCGCUAGUGCAGAUCUUGGUGGUAGUAGCAAAUAUUAAAGCGUGAUCCUUUAAGGACGAAGCGGGGAAGGGUUCCAUGCGAACAUUGAUUGGGCAUGGGUGAGUCGUUCCUAAGCCGGGUGGUAAUCGUUCUGACGAUCGGCGAAAGGGAAGUUGGUUAAAAUUCCAACACACGGAUGUGAAGGCGGCGACGCAAAUUGAGGUGGAGACACUAGCAAUGGAACUAGGCAAGAGUUUUCUUUUCUGUUUAACCUGUGCCGUACUCUGUGGAAUCCGUUUAUCGGGAGAAACAGGUGCUUAGCGGGAAGAGCGUAGGGGUGUCCCCUGCGUCUUAGUAAUCCGUUGAUAGUCCUUGAAAAUCCAUCUGCAAUCUAAUUUCACGCCGUGGCGUACCGAUAACCGCAGCAGGUCCCCAAGGUGAACAGCCUCUGUCUAAUAUGAACAAUGCAGGUAAGGGAAGUCGGCAAAAUAGACCCGUAACUUUGGGAAAAGGGUUGGCUCUAGUGGAGUGAAGG